GCGGUGGUCCCACCUGACCCCAUGCCGAACUCAGAAGUGAAACGCCGUAGCGCCGAUGGUAGUGUGGGGUCUCCCCAUGUGAGAGUAGGG
rnacentral:rRNA from 2 species